UACGUAGGGGGCAAGCGUUGUCCGGAUUUAUUGGGCGUAAAGAGCUCGUAGGCGGUUUGGUAAGUCUGGUGUGAAAUCUCCACGCUCAACGUGGAGGGGCCACCCGAUACUGCCAUGACUGGAGUCCGGUAGAGGAGUGUGGAAUUCCCGGUGUAGCGGUGAAAUGCGCAGAUAUCGGGAGGAACACCAGUGGCGAAGGCGGUUAGCUGGCCUGUAACUGACACUGAGGCGCGAAGGCUAGGGGAGCGAACAGG
rnacentral:rRNA from 1 species